rnacentral:rRNA from 1 species
AACAAACGCUGGCGGCGUGCAUAACACAUGCAAGUCUAACGGGAAUGUCGGCUUCGGCUGACUAGUACCGUGGCGAACGGGUGAGUAACACGUGGGUAAUCUGACCUCGAGUUUGGGAUAACCUUGCGAAAGCGGGGCUAAUACCGAAUAAGACCACGCCUUGUACGCAGGGCGCGGUAAAAGGUGGCCUCUUCCUGAAAGCUAUCACUCGAGGAUGAGCCCGCGGCCUAUUAGCUAGUUGGUGAGGUAACGGCUCACCAAGGCGACGAUGGGUAGCCGGCCUGAGAGGGUGUACGGCCACACUGGCACUGAGAUACGGGCCAGACUCCUACGGGAGGCAGCAGUGGGGAAUUUUGCGCAAUGGGGGAAACCCUGACGCAGCAACGCCGCGUGAGUGAUGAAGGCCUUCGGGUCGUAAAGCUCUUUUAGUGGGGAAGAAUCCCACCUGGACGAAUACUCCGGGUGUCUGACGGUACCCACAGAAAAAGUUCCGGCUAACUACGUGCCAGCCGCCGCCGUAACAC